rnacentral:rRNA from 1 species
UACAGAGGUGGCAAGCGUUGUUCGGAAUUACUGGGCGUAAAGCGCGCGUAGGCGGCUUUGCAAGCCGGAUGUGAAAUCCCCGGGCUUAACCUGGGAACUGCAUUCGGGACUGCAUUGCUAGAGUAUGGGAGAGGGAAGUGGAAUUUCAGGUGUAGCGGUGAAAUGCGUAGAUAUCUGAAGGGACAUCAGUGGCGAAAGCGACUUCCUGGACCAAUACUGACGCUCAUGUGCGAAAGCGUGGGGAGCAAACAGA